rnacentral:rRNA from 1 species
CUAAUACAUGCAAGUCGAGCGGAUCUUCAUUAGCUUGCUUUUGAAGAUCAGCGGCGGACGGGUGAGUAACACGUGGGCAACCUGCCUGUAAGACUGGGAUAACUUCGGGAAACCGGAGCUAAUACCGGAUAAUCCUUUCCCUCACAUGAGGGAAAGCUGAAAGACGGCUUCUCGCUGUCACUUACAGAUGGGCCCGCGGCGCAUUAGCUAGUUGGUGAGGUAACGGCUCACCAAGGCAACGAUGCGUAGCCGACCUGAGAGGGUGAUCGGCCACACUGGGACUGAGACACGGCCCAGACUCCUACGGGAGGCAGCAGUAGGGAAUCUUCCGCAAUGGACGAAAGUCUGACGGAGCAACGCCGCGUGAACGAUGAAGGCUUUCGGGUCGUAAAGUUCUGUUGUCAGGGAAGAACAAGUACCGGAGUAACUGCCGGUACCUUGACGGUACGUGACCAGAAAGCCACGGCUAACUACGUGCGAGCAGCCGCGGUGAUACGUAUGUGGCAAGCGUUGUCCGGAAUUAUUGGGCGUAAAGCGCGCGCAGGCGGUUCCUUAAGUCUGAUGUGAAAGCCCCCGGCUCAACCCGGGGAGGGUCGUUGGAAGCUGGGGGAACUUGAGUGCAGAAGAGGAGAGC